rnacentral:rRNA from 1 species
UACGGAGGGAGCUAGCGUUAUUCGGAAUUACUGGGCGUAAAGCGCACGUAGGCGGCUUUGUAAGUUAGAGGUGAAAGCCUGGAGCUCAACUCCAGAAUUGCCUUUAAGACUGCAUCGCUUGAAUCCAGGAGAGGUGAGUGGAAUUCCGAGUGUAGAGGUGAAAUUCGUAGAUAUUCGGAAGAACACCAGUGGCGAAGGCGGCUCACUGGACUGGUAUUGACGCUGAGGUGCGAAAGCGUGGGGAGCAAACAGGAGUUAGAAACCCUGAUGAACGUCGAAG